AUUGAACGCUGGCGGCAGGCCUAACACAUGCAAGUCGAACGGUAGCACAGAGAGCUUGCUCUCGGGUGACGAGUGGCGGACGGGUGAAUAACGUCUGGGAAACUGCCCGAUGGAGGGGGAUAACUACUGGAAACGGUAGCUAAUACCGCAUAACGUCGCAAGACCAAAGUGGGGGACCUUCGGGCCUCACACCAUCGGAUGUGCCCAGAUGGGAUUAGCUAGUAGGUGGGGUAGUGGCUCACCUAGGCGACGAUCCCUAGCUGGUCUGAGAGGAUGGCCGGCCAGAAUGGAACGGAGGCACGGUCCAGGGGCCUACGGGAGGCAGGAGUGGGGAGUAGUGAACAUUGGGCGCAAGCCGGAUGCAGCCAUGCGGCGUGUAGGAAGAGGGCCUGGGGGUUGUAAAGUACUUUCAGCGGGGAGGAAGGCGGUGGAGUUAAUAACUUCACCGAUUGACGUUACCCGCAGAAGAAGCACCGGCUAACUCCGUGCCAGCAGCCGCAGUAA
rnacentral:rRNA from 1 species